ACCUGGUCCGUUUUUCAACUUCCGACAGGGUAGCAUGUGGUUGGUGGAAAAUGCGCCAAUCGGGAAAGGGGUGGGCGGUUGAGAUGAUUGCUUUCCUUUCUGAAUUUCUGUGGAAUGUCGUUUUUUCCCAAAGAGCUCUUCGUCAAAUUGCGAAUUUUCUGUCCAGCCUACCUGAACACUGGCCUGAAAUGCCAGUAACCCUACAGUCGGCAUUUCCCCUCGUACGAAGCUACCGAAGCGAUCCUUUUGGUAUUUUCCCCAACCUAACAAGAGUGAGGCCAUAUGUGUUUCCCCGGCAAGGAUGCCCUGGGGCAUGGUACAUUGGGAAAACCGAG